rnacentral:rRNA from 1 species
UACAGAGGGGGCAAGCGUUGUUCGGAAUUACUGGGCGUAAAGGGCGCGUAGGCGGCCUGUUAAGUCGAACGUGAAAUCCCCGGGCUCAACCCGGGAACUGCGUCCGAUACUGGCAGGCUUGAAUCCGGGAGAGGGAUGCGGAAUUCCAGGUGUAGCGGUGAAAUGCGUAGAUAUCUGGAGGAACACCGGUGGCGAAGGCGGCCAUCUGGACGGCUAUUGACGCUGAGACGCGAAAGCAUGGGGAGCAAACAGG